rnacentral:rRNA from 1 species
GAUGAACGCUGGCGGCGUGCCUAAUACAUGCAAGUCGAGUGAACAGACGAGGAGCUUGCUCCUCUGACGUUAGCAGCGGACGGGUGAGUAACACGUGGAUAACCUACCUAUAAGACUGGGAUAACUUCGGGAAACCGGAGCUAAUACCGGAUAAUAUAUUGAACCGCAUGGUUCAAUAGUGAAAGACGGUUUUGCUGUCACUUAUAGAUGGAUCCGCGCCGCAUUAGCUAGUUGGUAAGGUAACGGCUUACCAAGGCAACGAUGCGUAGCCGACCUGAGAGGGUGAUCGGCCACACUGGAACUGAGACACGGUCCAGACUCCUACGGGAGGCAGCAGUAGGGAAUAUUCCGCAAUGGGCGAAAGCCUGACGGAGCAACGCCGCGUGAGUGAUGAAGGUAUUCGGAUCGUAAAACUCUGUUAUUAGGGAAGAACAAAUGUGUAAGUAACUAUGCACGUCUUGACGGUACCUAAUCAGAAAGCCACGGCUAACUACGUG